ACGCCGUGUGAGGGGAAACUCUCAUGCACGGUGU
rnacentral:misc_RNA from 2 species